AAUAACAAGUACGAAGAUUUUACUACAAUAUUGGUUUCUUGUGUGUGUCUUACUUUAAAACAGAGAGAAAAUGGAUACAAUUAUUACUUAGAGAAGUGUUUGUGCCUCUCUAUUGCCAGCUGCUUGCUUGUCCUUUUUGUCUUCAGCCCUGCAGUGUGGGUGGAUUUGAUCUCUGUGAUGAACCUGAGCUUGUCUUCAAGCAAGCUGCAGAAAGAACUCUGAGCGUGAAGGUGUCUAUAAGCAGUCGUUUUAAAUGAAGAAGUAUCAGAAAACAAAAAAAAAGGAAGAUAGGAGUGAAUGUGGUGGUAUAAAAAGAAAGAUUAAUUUUUGUGUGGCCUGCUCUGGGCCAUUUGGAGAGCUUUUACUUUCUUCUGACCCCUCUGUGGAUUCCAAGACUUGCAGCUGUGCAAAUUCCACUUUUUAGAUUGGUAAAUUGCAUCCAACAAAGUGUUAGGAUGUAACUGAGGAGAGAAACAGAAAAGCAUAAAUUAAUAGGAAAAACUGUGGAUUUGGAAUGGAAGUGAUGAAAUGUGGUGAGUAGGUUGAGGUGGAGCAGCACUGUAAUAUGCAAAUGAUUCCCUUGGUUACAUCAUCUUGCUUUCCUUCAGUCACUUGUGGCAAAAUAAGAUUUCUUGCAAUGCUGACUUUAUUUUCAUGGAAAAAGGAGUUAAUUCUGUGGGUGGUAAGGGCUGAAGGGUAAUUUACACCUCACUGGGCAGUCUGUGUCACUUAACUUGAUAUGAUCUUGUUAUGUAUGCAGCACCUUUCUAAAAUUUGUGGGACUUAAUGUAAUCUAUACCUUAUCUGUAUUAAUUUUUUUAUGGGAUUAAAAAAAAAUCUAAAUUUUAUAUUUCCUAACUUAUCCCAAAUCAUUCUUGGUCUCUUUCAAUGGUUUAAGCAUAUGAAAUGUUCUCAAUUCACACUUCAGUGAGAUUCAAUGGGAUGACAGGAAG